GUACGCUAUUCAGAGUUUGAUCCUGGCUCAGAUUGAACGCUAGCGGGAUGCCUUACACAUGCAAGUCGAACGGCAGCGACAGGGAGCUUGCUCCUUGGUCGGCGAGUGGCGAACGGGUGAGUAAUGUAUCGGAACGUACCCAGUAGCGGGGGAUAACUACGCGAAAGCGUAGCUAAUACCGCAUACGCCCUACGGGGGAAAGAGGGGGAUCGCAAGACCUCUCACUAUUGGAGCGGCCGAUAUCGGAUUAGCUAGUUGGUGAGGUAAUGGCUCACCAAGGCGACGAUCCGUAGCUGGUUUGAGAGGACGACCAGCCACACUGGGACUGAGACACGGCCCAG
rnacentral:rRNA from 1 species